GGCGGCGUGCUUAACACAUGCAAGUCGAGCGGAAAGGCCCUUCGGGGUACUCGAGCGGCGAACGGGUGAGUAACACGUGAGCAACCUGCCCUAGGCUUUGGGAUAACCCCGGGAAACCGGGGCUAAUACCGAAUAUGACUUCUGGUCGCAUGACUGGUGGUGGAAAGUUUUUCGGCCUGGGAUGGGCUCGCGGCCUAUCAGCUUGUUGGUGGGGUGAUGGCCUACCAAGGCGACGACGGGUAGCCGGCCUGAGAGGGCGACCGGCCACACUGGGACUGAGACACGGCCCAGACUCCUACGGGAGGCAGCAGUGGGGAAUAUUGCGCAAUGGGCGGAAGCCUGACGCAGCGACGCCGCGUGAGGGAUGACGGCCUUCGGGUUGUAAACCUCUUUCAGCAGGGACGAAGCGUAAGUGACGGUACCUGCAGAAGAAGCGCCGGCCAACUACGUGCCAGCAGCCGCGGUAAGACGUAGGGCGCGAGCGUUGUCCGGAUUUAUUGGGCGUAAAGAGCUCGUAGGCGGCUUGUCGCGUCGACUGUGAAAACCCGCAGCUCAACUGCGGGCCUGCAGUCGAUACGGGCAGGCUAGAGUUCGGUAGGGGAGACUGGAAUUCCUGGUGUAGCGGUGAAAUGCGCAGAUAUCAGGAGGAACACCGGUGGCGAAGGCGGGUCUCUGGGCCGAUACUGACGCUGAGGAGCGAAAGCGUGGGGAGCGAACAGGAUUAGAUACCCUGGUAGUCCACGCUGUAAACGUUGGGCGCUAGGUGUGGGGGGCCUCUCCGGUUCCCUGUGCCGCAGCUAACGCAUUAAGCGCCCCGCCUGGGGAGUACGGCCGC
rnacentral:rRNA from 1 species